CAGAGGUCUCAAGCGUUGUUCGGAUUCAUUGGGCGUAAAGGGUGCGUAGGCGGCGCGGUAAGUCGGGUGUGAAAUCUCGGAGCUUAACUCCGAAACUGCAUUCGAUACUGCCGUGCUUGAGGACUGGAGAGGAGACUGGAAUUUACGGUGUAGCGGUGAAAUGCGUAGAUAUCGUAAGGAAGACCAGUGGCGAAGGCGGGUCUCUGGACAGUUCCUGACGCUGAGGCACGAAGGCCAGGGGAGCAAACGGGAUUAGAUACCCCGGUAGUCCUGGCAGUAAACGGUGCACGUUUGGUGUGGGAGGAUUCGACCCCUUCUGCGCCGGAGCUAACGCGUUAAACGUGCCGCCUGGGGAGUACGGUCGCAAGAUUA
rnacentral:rRNA from 1 species